ensembl:lncRNA
UUUGGGCUUUAGCAACUCUGGAACAACAGGAAGUCCUGUUGCGCGCGCGCGCGCACACACACACACACACACACACACACACACGCGCAGCUGCCCAGCCUUCUCCCAUCUUUGUCUGUUUAAAAGCUCUGGCUUUGCCCUCUCAGUUUCCAAUGGGAAAGGGCAGAGGCCUAUGGCUGGUGGCACAGUGUUUUGAAGGACUGUUUUGGGUGAGAAUGAUGCUUCUGGUCCUGGGACCACACUUUGAGAACCACUGCUCUACUCUCUGGAGAAAAGUCUGUGUAUGCCAGUGAGAAGGGUGCUCUGCUUCUGAAGAAAGAAAGAGAAACGUGAAGAAUUUAGAAAAAGAUGGAAUGCUCAGGUAACUGAAGUCAUCCAGGAGUUCACUUUCCCUGGAGCAGGGAUCAUGGACCCAGAUUAAGAAGUCCACAGCUAAAGGGAUUCUUCUGUCUCUAAAAUGCAGCGUUUCUAAGUCCUUUCCCUAGAAGUUGCAUUUUCACGACUCUCUCCCCAGUGACCUUUUGUAACCAUUUUCAUGGCUUGAUACAACAACAACAACGAAUGAAAUGGACAGGGUGUGCUAAUUCAUGAAACAAGCUGAGUGUUGGGGCUGCCCCAAGACGUUCUGUUUCGUAAUGAAUGAUUUCCACCUCGUGGCAGCACUUUCUUUCUACACCUGUGUCUUUGACACUUGCCAUACAGGAUCCAAUGCCAAGUCCCAAAGGUUCAGUUUCUUAAAUCAUGAAAGGACUGACUCCGAGUUCUUGGCCUCUUGCUUCCAGCUGUGUCCGCAUCAGGUCGAAGCUAUGCUGUAAUACACAUAAGCACCACCAGAUGGCAUCCUUGGGAAAGUCUUGCCUUGCGCGUUGCUUUCCCAGCUCUGACGUCUAUUCUAAACAUAGCCUGGUAAAAUGCUUGUGGAAGAAGGAAGAGAAUCUAUUAUGGGGGAGGAAAAACACCAAUGACAAGACAGCCUAGCACUUUCCUGGGUUUUGGUAUACAGAGUCAAGCCUUGAUUACUUUCUUCUACUUCUUAAUUAUCAGCUUUUCAAGGCAGAUGCAUAGGUUUAUAUAAUACAGAAGCAUUUCUUUCAUACACAUGCAUAUAUUUUUUGCCUCUACUGAUGCUCUAUGUGACUUAGAAGCUGCUCAUAAUUUAGAGGAAGAGCCUGUUCUUCUUUUGGAUUCUAAACUUGCACAUUCAUUCUUUUAUUGCCUCUGUCCUCCACUUCCAGUAAGAAUAUUCAGUUUGCACGGAAACCUCAUAAAAGGCCUUUCUGGGAAGGGAAAAGCUCAGUAAGAUCAGCUCUCUCUGCUGUGAAUCUCAGGCCAACUGGAAAGAAGAUCAAAGAGAAAGAAGAGGGCAGAGUGGACUUGGAUGGAAAGCAUGAUUGUCCCUGAAAGUGACCUGUCGGUUCCAUCUUCUCUUUUGCUCCUUCCAAAUUUUUCUUAAAAAACAGUUUUUUAAAAACCCAUGUUCAUGCUACAUUAAGCCUCAUGUUUCCAUUUCCCAUUUUACUGCUCAGGGUGGCACUUGCUGCCACUUGGUAAACUUACUUAAGAGGGGGAAUGAUGUC